UUACUGUGUCCCAUUAGUGCCUUUUCAAUGUUCAGUCUUUUCUGGCUCAGGAGCCAGUCAUAAACUCUUUUCUUCCCUACAGGAAGCAGUUAUUGAAUGCCUAUGCAUGUUCCAGAGUCCAUAUGGGGGAGUUGCAUCUGGUAGAUCCUGCUGCGAAUGAUCAUCAGGACAAGGAUUUCGUUGAUGCUGGAACAGAGAUCCUCAGAGAUAGGCUUUUUGCAAGUGGUCCAGGAGCUCCUGAAUUCCUCAGUUGAUUGCAAUUAUACUUUUGGAAGAUUCUUCUGUUGCUAUGUUUUUUGGAGAAGAUGAUCACUGGCAGAAAGAUGAGCCCAACCUCUGGCCUGGCUUGACAAAAGACAUUUACCUGGAUAGAGUUGUUUGUACAAAACAGCUCCAUGGUGAAGAUGUUCUCCAUGAUAGUCUCUUUUGGAUACUUCCUCAUGCUGUCGAGGUUGUCCUGGGCUGCACUAGCAGAAGGCAAGCUCUGGAGGGCCCUUCCAAGUUGCAAAAUCUUCAAAUACUGGCCUGAUUUCAGAAUUAAUUUUCCUUGCCACCACCACAUCCUAUACUCCUAGACUGUACCUCCAAGCUGCCAAUGGAUGAAGGUUUUCUGCCUGUUCUCCCACGUCUCUUGGAAAAAGGAUGAACCUAUUCCAUCAUGCACCAGCCUCCUCCUACCUUUGAGCUAAAAGAAGAGAACACCAUUUCAUCAUACCAGGUCUUCUACCUGGUUUCCAACCUCCCAAGGGAAGAGGAGAAAUGUCAUUUCAUUGAGCAUCUGACUUCUUCCUUUCAGAGAAGAAGAGAAGAGCCAUUCAAUCAAGUCCCCAGAUUGAUCUCCUGCCAUGAAGGAAAGAAAGUAAUACCAUCCUUUCAGCUCCCACCAGUUGUGCCUUCAUCCAAACUAACUGGCCCUGAGAAAACUCCACCCUGAGGCCAAACCCUUAUGGACAAUGAACUUAUUUCUCAAUGACUAACAACUACCUCCUAGCCAUACUCUCCCUAAGCUGGUGAUUUUGAUCUCUAUUGCUGUCAUCAUUCAAAUCUAGUUCUCCAUCCUCUGCUGCCUGAUUCAUUAUUUCCAUUCCCCUCAAACCAACACCCCCACCACAUAACAAUCUAAAGCUACCAACCCUCUCCUCUAUACUCUCUAGAAUCCCUGUUCUGUGGGUAACAACUUUGCUUUUAUAUUAAAUCUACUCUCUCCAAAUUUACUGAUAAUAUCUUAAUGACCAAAUCCAAUGGCAUUUUCUCAGUCCUCAUUCUUCUUGACCCCUCUGUAGAAUUAGACAUUUAAAUUUCCCUCUACUCUUUGUUAUUCUCUUUUCACUAGGCUUUUAUGAUACUACUCUUUCCUGUUUCUCCUCCUACCUAUCUAACCACUUAUUCUUUGCUGAUCUUUAUCCAUAUCAUGCUAAUUAAGUCAUUAAUUGUGGGUGCCCUAUAGGGAUAUGUCUUGGGUCCUUUUUUUCUCCUUUGCAGGAUCUUCUUCCAAAUCACUCCCUCUAACCAUAGGUUUCCAUGAAGGUUCUGUCCUGGGCUCUCUUCUUUUCUCCCUCUGUAUUACUUCUCUUAGUGAUCUCAUCAGUUCCCAUGGAUUUAAUGAACAUCUCUGUGCUGAUGAUUCUCAAAUCUAACUUACCCUAAACUGUCUGGUGACCUGCAAUCUCAUCCCCAAAUGCCUUUCAGAUAUCUCAGACGACUGGUUCAGUAGACAUCUGGAACUCAAUAUGUCCAAAACAGAACUCAUUACCUUUACCCCCCAAAACCUCUGCCCCUCCUAACUUUUUUUUGACUGUAGAGGCCAACACAAUCUUCCCAGUCCCUCAGGUUCACAACUUACAUUUUCCUCAAUUUCUCACUAUCUCUCACCCCACUCCUAUAUCCAAUCCGUUUCCAAGGCCUGUCAUUUUCACCUUUGCAAUAUCUCUCAAAUACACUCCCUUCUCUCCUGACAGUGCCACACUCCAGUGCAGGCCCUGAUCCCCUGAUACCUGGAUUAUUUCAAUAGCCUUCUGGUAAAUAUGUCUGCCUCAAGUCUCUCCCCACUCCAAUCCAUCCUCCUUUCAG